rnacentral:lncRNA from 1 species
GAAGUUCUCAACUACGCCCUGAAUGGGCGUAGUUAAGGCAACGCCUGCCAAGGGCUGCACUCUUUCUGAAUAAUAGCCGUUGGGCGUUUCACUCAAUACUUUAAGAAACAUUGCAUCCUCACUGACUCAAAGGACACCCGCAGCUCCAACAACACGAGCCAUCAGAGAACCAGCAAGAUCAUCCAGACAUGUUUGGAAAUAAUAAUGCAGGUAGCUGCCAUCCAUCUGGUUAUGACCUGGGGCCCGUGCCAGGGGCCGACCCAUGCCCAGGGGGCGAUCAGGAGGGCCUCGACUUGAGCUUACUUGAUUUUGGAAACGAUGGAAAAAAAGGCGACCGUCAGUGUGACAACCGUGGGUCUGAAGACGACGCCCGGGACAAAGGCCGUUGCCAUGAUGAUGACCGCCGGGAAAGAGACGGUCACCGCGGCGACAAGGACUGCGAUUCCGGUGAUCGUGACGCCGGCCGUCGCCGCGACGAUGAAUGCCGUGAAAAGGGUGGUCGCCGCGACGACAAGCACUGCGAUUCCGGUGAUCGUGACGGCGGCCGUCGCCGCGACGAUGACUGCCGUGAAAAGGGUGGUCGCCGCGACGACAAGCACUGCGAUUCCGGUGAUCGUGAUGCCGACCGUCGCCGCGACGAUGACUGCCGGGACAAAGAGGAUCGCCAUGGCGAUAGAGGAGGCAGAUGCAGCCCCAAACAGCGUGAUGGGAGCCACGAGCGCCACCGCAAAAACAGCAAGAGUCCGGACCACCGUCGCCGAGGCAGUAAAAGCCCUCGCCGUCGCCGAGGCAGCAACAGCCCUCGCCGUCGCCAUGGUAGCGGCCAUGGUAGCGGCCAUGGUAGCGGCAGCGGCAGCGGCAGCGGCAGUAGUGGCAGUGAGAGCGACGGCAACCACGGGCGCAGACGUAAGCACAAGGGCCACAAGCAUGGGCAUGGGCACGGGCACGGGCACGGGCAUGGGGGUGGUAGGGGAAAGGGCCAUGGUCAUAAGCACUGCUAGAUGUUCCUCAUGAGUCCGAUCUACAGAACGCACAUUUGCACCAAACUAGAUGGUACAUACAUACAGUAAUGGAUGAUUGUAUGCAGAGUAGUUAUGUGGUUAUGUUACACCUUCCUAUUGGAUGAUGUCCUGAGGAAAAUUGUAACUGAAUGACAAUAAUAAUAAAGUCAUAAUCUCACAAUGCAUCAUCUCUUUUU